rnacentral:lncRNA from 1 species
GUCGCUUAUUUGUCACUUUCCUCAUCUAAAACUUUUUUCAAAAAACUGGCAUCGUUUGUCUUGGGGUUAGGGGGUACAAAUGGUACCCAUAGCUUAGAGGGUGCAAAUGGUACCCGUAAGAAGACUUGGUGGAAAUCGUGUUGGUCGUUUGGAUUGGCGAGAAUAAGGCAACAAUUAUGGUGGCAAAGUUUUUUCAAACAUUUUCUCUCCCGUAGUAAGGUAAAGCAUGUAUUUUCCUGGUAGCCGGUCUUACUUCCUGAAAAUAACAGUCCGCUACCAGCGACUAGGUCCCCUCUCUUAUGGCGGUCAUUGCGGCUCAAUAUCUUCAGGGAUAUUCCUUUUCAGGGCGGUUGCAUGCGGAUAAUAUGGUCCGUCGCGUGCGCAAAAUAGUUAGGGAGUUAGACAGUUUAGAAGCGUCCAAACUGAGCAAUAUACGACACUCGCA